AUACUUACCUGGCAGGGGAGAUACUAUGAUCAUGAAGGUGGUUUUCCCAGGGCGAGGCUUAUCCAUUGCACUCCGGAUGUGCUGACCCCGGUGAUUUCCUUAAAUGUGGGAAACUCGACUGCAUAAUUUGUGGUAGUGGGGGACUGAGUUCACGCUUUCCCCUA
ensembl:snRNA U1 U1 spliceosomal RNA